AUACGGAAGGCAGCAGUGGGGAAUUUUGGUCAAUGGGCGCAAGCCUGAACCAGCAACGCCGCGUGGGUGAUGAAGGCCUUCGGGUUGUAAAGCCCUGUCGGGAGGGACGAAACCCUGCGUUAACCACGCAGGUUGACGGUACCUUCAAAGGAAGCACCGGCUAACUCCGUGCCAGCAGCCGCGGUAAUACAGAGGGUGCAAGCGUUGUUCGGAAUUACUGGGCGUAAAGCGCGUGUAGGCGGCGCUGUAAGUCCUGUGUGAAAGCCCCGGGCUCAACCCGGGAAGUGCGCAGGAUACUGCAGUGCUAGAGUGACGGAGAGGAUGGCGGAAUACCCGGUGUAGAGGUGAAAUUCGUAGAUAUCGGGUGGAACACCUGUGGCGAAGGCGGCCAUCUGGACGUCAACUGACGCUGAGACGCGAAAGCGUGGGUAGCAAACAGGAUUAGAUACCCGUGU
rnacentral:rRNA from 1 species